rnacentral:lncRNA from 1 species
CCCCUUUUUGCUGCCUUUCCAGGGAGAGCAGCAAGAGAAAGAAAGAGAGAGGCAAGCGAAAUUCCUGAAUGGAUAGACAGAUGCUACGUCAUCCGGAGCUGCGUCCUCCACUCCACAAGAGGCUAGGAGCCGGGAGAAAGAGGCAGUCCAGCGGCAGGGGCCACCAGCGCAGGCUCUCCUCCUCACAGAAGCCGGGAGCUGGUCAUCCAAGAAGAAGCAGCCUCGUUUGUUUCGGGUGUCAUCGUAGGUGUCCACCUUUGGCUUUGGGGGAACAGCCAGGUCUUGCUUACUCCUGCCUUGGGAAGUCCUUCCCAAUGUCUAACCAAGAUCUGUACCGCUGAAGUACCAGUUCUUUGACCCUCGGCUUGACAUGGCUAAUUUGAGAGGCACAGGGAGGAACUGACCUUGAUUUGGCACCUGCUUGCUUGUUCCUGAAAACUGAGUGAUACUGUCGCCACUAUACAAAGACAAUCAGAGCCCCAAGUCACAGGACUGACCAAAAAGAAGAACCUACUUCACCCACUUGUCCUGGGUUCCCUCUGAGACGCUGUCUUGAUUGACUGAAAGAUGAGGCUAAACUCUAGCAAGUUGAGUGGCUCCUCCCAGAAUCCUUUAAGCAGGAUAGAAGUGGGGAGGCCCCAGCCUCCAGCCUGGGCAGCCCGUUAGACUGGAGCCGCCUGGCAAAGACUUUAUUUCAUCAUUGCUCCAGUGUCUGCAAGCUGUCCAUCCUGGCCAGCCCUGGUUUCCCCUGUGUCGUCUGAACUGAGAAUCUUCUGAGAUGGAAGUCCCAUCUCAUGCCUAAUAAA